rnacentral:pre_miRNA from 1 species
GCCGGGAAGAGGAAUAAAGGGAGCAUGUAAGAUCAGUGGGAAUAGGAAUAUUGAGGGGAUCCUAUAGCUCAAUUUGUUUUCCUAUAUUGGAGGUAACAAGCUUUGUGUUUCCCUAGUGCCUCAUAUUCCUAUUGUUAUUAGGUACUACUUCCUCUUCCUUUUGGCU